rnacentral:tRNA from 1 species
UUUAGGCCUGGAAAGUUAACAAAACACUUAGGUCGUGACCCUAACAAUAGAGGAGUAUACCCUCUUCCAGGCC